rnacentral:rRNA from 1 species
GACGAACGCUGGCGGCGUGCUUAACACAUGCAAGUCGAACGGAAAGGCCAGUGCUUGCACUGGUACUCGAGUGGCGAACGGGUGAGUAACACGUGGGUGAUCUGCCUUGCACUCUGGGAUAAGCUUGGGAAACUGGGUCUAAUACCGGAUAUGAACUGCCUUUAGUGUGAUGGUUGGAAAGUUUUUUCGGUGCAAGAUGAGCUCGCGGCCUAUCAGCUUGUUGGUGGGGUAAUGGCCUACCAAGGCGUCGACGGGUAGCCGGCCUGAGAGGGUGUACGGCCACAUUGGGACUGAGAUACGGCCCAGACUCCUACGGGAGGCAGCAGUGGGGAAUAUUGCACAAUGGGCGGAAGCCUGAUGCAGCGACGCCGCGUGGGGGAUGACGGCCUUCGGGUUGUAAACUCCUUUAGACAGGGACGAAGCGUAAGUGACGGUACCUGUAUAAGAAGCACCGGCUAACUACGUG